rnacentral:tmRNA from 1 species
GGGGGUGACCUGGCUUCGACGGCGGUUACUGAAUCCAAGGCGCAUGCCGAGGCGGCAACAACCUCGUAAAAAACGGUUGCGAAAAAAUUAGUUGCCAACGACGACAACUACGCACUAGCCGCUUAAUCUCGGCUAGUCAUCCUUCCGGGAGAUGCUUGUGAAUCCCGAUCUGGAUGUCGACUACACAAGAUCGCCGUUCGGUCUGUCUGGAGCCGGAAGGUUAAAUCAAACAUGCAGGCUGGCGGUCAUCGGGCCCUGUCCGUCGGGUGUUGACCGUAAGACAAAGACGGUGCUAAGCAUGUAGAGCCGAAGAGGAGGAACUGCCGGACGCGGGUUCGAUUCCCGCCACCUCCACCA